rnacentral:lncRNA from 1 species
GUGCACUUCAACACCCUACUAUCACCCAACAAAGAAUUCUGGCCACAGAAUCACCUUGCUGCGGUAUUCCUGACUGAAUCAAGAUACGCUGGGGAAGAGGCAUCUGAAGAUAGCCCGGGUUCUGACCUCGGCCCUGCUGCCUAACUGCCUGGUGACUUCAGCGCAAGGCCUCGCUGAAGCGAACCCAUCGUGGGAAGGGCGCGGAGAAAGCGGGGAGAAAGAGCAGGGGGACGUCGGGCCUGCGCCUGGCACCGCCGCUACCUGGAUUCGCGGGCCCCUCACACACUCACCUGCCGGUAUUCUAAUCACAGAAUUACUGGAGCAUCAAGAAGUGCCUGCAUGCUUGGAAGGGCUUCCAGGCAGAUGAACACACCUCAGCACCGGGUGGCAUUUUCCCAGGGUGCAACCCGGACCGGCUCUGGGUCACACUGACAAGCCUCUCCGACUCCCCAGGCUGGGUUGGGUGCUCCUCCCUCUCAUCCCACAGCGCUAUGUCUCAUGUCUUCUGGAAAACUUGCCAAUCCCUAGUGACAACAGGGUUAACAAUUUCCAGAGACAGCCCGUACAUAGAAGGAAUGUUUACUGAAAAAAAUGAAGAGGGGUCAGGGCAAGGCGAGGAGCAAGAAGCACCCCCAAGGAAACAGAGAAGACCAGUACAACUGUACCUCUUUGCCAGCUGCACCAUCCGUACCAGGUGGCACGUUCCAGAGCCAUAGCCUCUGUUCUAUUCAUCUCCAGUCUCCUGGGGUGGAAGUGUCCAGCACAGAGACUGCCACACUGCAAGACGAAGGGGCUGGACACACGGAAGAGAGAGGCGGAACCCUGCACCCCCUCAACCUCAGCCCUACUGAGUCUCCAAUGGGGCCACGCUUCUGAGUGCACCUCCCCGUGUCAUCUGUAAUGUGAGGGGGAACCAGGCUUGAUAUGGCAUUCCCAAUCCAGGGCCUCUGGACCCCUUGAGAUGCAUAAAAAUAGUGAUGGGGGCCUGAGAGUUCUUUUUUUUUUUUUUUUUUUUUGGUCAUGAACUAUUUUUAACAUUUCCGAAAGCCUCCUGGAAAUUAUUAUGCAGCCAGCCACAACAGGGCUGCAACAAAAUGCCAGUAUCUUCGCUUUUCUCUGGAGUCCCAUCAGCUCAGUGCCGUCACACUGAUCAAAGGCACUGCCUGGCAGUCAUCUAUGUUAGUGAUGAGUAAAGUAGACAGGAAAUUCA